rnacentral:rRNA from 1 species
UACGAAGGGGGCUAGCGUUGUUCGGAAUUACUGGGCGUAAAGCGUGCGCAGGCGGCUUCUCAAGUCAGGGGUGAAAGCCCAGAGCUCAACUCUGGAAUUGCCUUUGAGACUGAGUGGCUUGAGUACGAGAGAGGUGAGUGGAAUUCCCAGUGUAGAGGUGAAAUUCGUAGAUAUUGGGAGGAACACCGGUGGCGAAGGCGGCGAUCUGGGUAGAUACUGACGCUGAGGUGCGAAAGCGUGGGGAGCAAACAGG